rnacentral:rRNA from 1 species
UACGUAGGUGGCGAGCGUUGUCCGGAUUUACUGGGCGUAAAGAGCGCGCAGGCGGCUGGUCAAGUCCGAUGUGAAAUCUCCCGGCUCAACUGGGAAACUGCAUCGGAAACUGAUCGGCUUGAAGGUGGGAGAGGGUAGUGGAAUUCCCGGUGUAGUGGUGAAAUGCGUAGAUAUCUGGAGGAACACCGGUGGCGAAGGCGACAUCCUGGACCGGUAUUGACGCUGAGGCGCGAAAGCCAGGGGAGCAAACGGG